rnacentral:lncRNA from 1 species
AAUUGUUGUCUCAUUACAUGUUUCAAAUCUUUCCAAGUUUAGGUUGGUUAUCAAUAUUUUUCUUACAAUGCACACUCCAGCAAACAGAAGCAAAGCCAGUAAAUGCUCUAGUGGCAGCUCGUACUCUCUCAACUUCAGAAAAAGUCAUGGUUACUAAAAACUUGUUCUACUUCAAACUCCCAAGCUAGAUAAAUAGCAGGAUUAAAUCUACCCUCAAAUGACGGUAAAGAGAUAAGCUGACCAUGUGCUUGUGUGUGUUGUCCCAACUCUCGUGAUGGUGAAGAUGUGUCCGUCGUCCAAGAACUUCUAUCUCCGGAACCUGUCAUGAUUAGUAGAAACAGGAAACAAAAUUCGAGAAUAAUGUUCCUAUGAACUACUAGGAUGUGGUUGUAAAGUGCUCACAGUAAGGCAAAUAUCAAUAUCUUACAAGUUCUUACCAUGCGGCAGGUGGUGACAGGCAACCAGCAAUGUCAAAUAACUCCGAAGAUUGUGUAAAUCGAUUGCCAGGGGAACGUAUGUAUACACGGUGUAGAAAUAUGUGGAGCUGGGUUGGCUAUAUAUGGUAGCAAAAUAUUAGCAAUAAUCAAUUCAAAGAUGCAAUGUUGAAUAAACGCUCAACGACGGUAAUGUGCUGGUCCUAGGCUAGACCGGACUAGAGACGCGAGCCUAGAACACUAAUGAGGUCACGACAUAGCACAACUAGCAUCAAUGAAGGAUAAGUAGCUCUGGACAGCAAGAUAUAAGUGAAGAUCACAACGGCAGUAAAGAUAAUGAUGAAUAACAACUGCCAAGCAGGAUAUAUAACAAUUCUCUCUCCAAAUUUCCUCUUGAAAAGUUUGCUACUAACUCAAGCUUUCCAAUGCAAAAAGAAUCACUCAAUUCUGAGGUGAUAUAAGGAGUCAAAAAAUCCUAAAACUGGCUUGAAAAACUGGAAUAAGCUGUGUUCGCGAACUUCGGAGGGCAAAAAGACCUAUUUAGAAGCCGAUUUUGAGGUGCAAAAUAUUGAACUAGCUUCUACAACUAUUUAGAUGUGUCUCGUCUCUAGCUUUAGUUUGAGUACUCGCGGAGCCAAAACUGACGUCGUAUGAGGAAGUUAUGCCUUUUUUACUGAACAGUGCACAAAACAGAUUCCAGUCCGAAUUCAACUAUGAGACUGAGUCUAGAUAGAUCCGAAUUUUGUUUUUUUUCUCUUUUUUACCUCACACUUUUUUUUCUCCCUCUUUCCAAGACAAACUAGAUAAGAUGCAGAUUGGAUCAGGCGAAGAUGUGAAUGACCUCAACUAGGAUUAUGACAAUGGACAGUGCGUAGCACGUGGUGGAAAUUGAUGGAUGAGAUGAUGGACAGCGGAAGGGAUAAUGAUGCAGCGGCGACGUGACUAAUGUGAACAGAACUCGAAACUCUAAAGGAACUAGACACUAAGACCAGCAACUCGACACGACGAUGUAACUGAUAAUUCAAUAAUGCAAACAAUGAAACGAAAAUUGCAAAGGCUCGGACUGGCUAGGACAAAGGAUGAAUAGAUCUAACUUUUUUUGUGGUUUUUUUCUUGGACAAUAGGUAAGAAAAUCAAUCUAAUCUAGGGAUGACUGGAAAUUCUCACCGAGCAACCUGAAAACUGAUACCACUUGAUAGAGGCGAGGGUCCCGAUCUUUCGAUGAGAUGAUAACUAUCGAUUGGAAUCACCUGGUAAUUUAGUUGGCGUGCACGAGCUCUAGUAAUUGGUCCAGUAUGUAUAGCAGCAGGGGCUGUGGGUGUAACAAUUGUAUUGAUGUCCUCAUCAUCCUCCCCUUCUUGAAAUGAAGUCGUCCUCGACGGAAGUUCAUCUUCCUCACCCAAAUAAGGCUUCAAAUCUGCAACGUUAAAAGUGGGACUAACCCCAAAAUCUGCAGGCAGCUCAAGUUUAUAUGCAUUAUCAUUUAUUUUCUCUAACACCUUAAAGGGACCAUCAGCACGUGGCAUUAGCUNNNNNNNNNNNNNNNNNNNNNNNNNNNNNNNNNNNNNNNNNNNNNNNNNNNNNNNNNNNNNNNNNNNNNNNNNNNNNNNNNNNNNNNNNNNNNNNNNNNNCAAAAACUGGCUUAAGUGACCAAAUGGUCUCGCCGGGAAUGCGGGCAUUUUUUCGACCACCUCCAAAUCAUCUCAGUUUUGGCACACAUGAUCUCUUCCACAAACAAAACUAGGUUUCCAAGUUUUUGUAUUUUUUUAAUUUUUUUUGAAUUUAUAAUGCCCUCUAGAUUGACUGCUGAAAACAUCAGUCUAUGCCUCAAGGGGGCAUUGUAAAAUAAUUUUUUUCAAAAUUUUCUUGCAUACACAUGUUUUGCACAUGUGGGUCACCAUGUACAAGAAAAUUUGGGUGAUUUGGAGGUGGUGGAAAAAUUCACGUUUUUUCAAAAACUGGCUUAAGUUAGACCAAAUGGUCCCUCCGGGAAUGUCCCGGACCUGCAUGCAAGAGUCAGGGACCUACAUGCAAGAGUCGGGGACCUGCAUGCAAGAGUCAGGGACCUGCAUGCAAGGGUCGGGGACCUGCAUGUGAAUAGUGAUUCAUCAAGGCCUUGACAGCUACUGGCACAGCGGCCGCUGCCUGAUUUGCAUGCAGCGAAGAUGAACGUGCAUGGAGGUUUUUCAAAGAUUUCCAAGCACACCCGAGUGGGCCCCGCUUAUUUAAAAAAUACGUCAGUCAUUAUUGCUCUAUAAAUGAAGAAUAUGCAUGAUGAUUAUGAAUAUGCAUGACAACCGUAGUAAGGGUGAAGAAUCAUAGUGCCCAAUUUGUCGAAAUACAUCAUCAUUCUUAAAGUUGGACAUCAAAUGAUACACACAGAAAAUGGAAACGAAAGAUGCCGAACUAAUACAGUAACAUGGCAGUACAACCGCACUUCACUAAAUUACUGUUACGAUGAAAUAGAAUGUAAAGACCACGUCACACAAAGCUGAAUGGCACACGACUUUCUCUGGCUCAUCGUCGGUUCAUGCUGUAUGUAGAUAUCACAGUUCAGCCUCGAGAUCCUACACAGAAGAAUAGAAUAAAUCACAUGGACAUCAAUUAUGAGUAAAACACAUGCAAAAAAAAUAUGAACAUAUUUCGUACCUCUAGCAAUUUAGCGCAUUUACGUUGAUUGUGACCUGGUUUCUUGCAAUAGCCACAGAUAUUCUGUGAUCUUGACUUCUUUGUCUUUGCCUGCAGCCUUUUCUUCGGUGCACCUCGUCCUGGCACAUGCACGGGAUCCAGAACUUUAUCAACUUUCUGCGAGUGCGCCAUCAACGGGCCAAACCUAAUGCUGUUAUGCUGAGCAUUAGUUGGCUCCUUGCUGUCAGCUUGUUCAAAACUUGAUUGAUUGCCAUGAUGUUGUGCUUGCAAAAGCAUCUUUAGACGGCGAUAGUCCUCAUCAGAGUGGCAUGCCUGGAAACUUGCGGCAUGACUACAAUUCCGCAACUCGCGGUACCUCUGCAGGCUUAGCGAAUAGUCAUACAUCUGGUUUUUUCUGGUAGGUGCGUAUGCACAUUUUGCAUUCAUAGUCCACCUAGUGGGAACGCAACAACCGGGCAGAAUUGUUUGUUUUAAAAUCCCCAAUAUGUAAAAAAUGUGGGAACAUGGUGUGCCUGCGCAUUCCAGCUUACGGCAAGAACAACUCACCCUGUGCAAAAGACCUCCUUGCUCUUCAAUGCGCACUCCAAACUUUUUAUCCAUUCUUUCCUGCUUGGACACAACAUAAGUGGAAUCUUCUGAUCCAUCUAGUAUCUCUCUAAUCUAACAUUUGCUGACAGCAUCUAUGCUCCAUAAGACCAUCUUAAAGACACUAGGUGUGAAAACUGUUGCGGCGUGUUUCUCAAGCGGCGAAGCAUUUUCCUCUGUAAAUGGAAUGGACUGCAAGGCUUCGACAUCAUGGAGAGCUUCGUUAAUCCGUCGCGACGCAAGGCAACGCUCAUAGUGCUCUAGCAUUUCAAACAAUGACAUCUUACCCUCAAGAUGCGUAUGUAGCACAGAGUUCAAGCUCUCACUCCUCUGAUUGCUGCUCAAUCCUAGGAAACAACGCCCCUCAAGAUAUGGAGCACACCACAACUUUCUCAUCUGAUACAUCUGAUGCAGCCAAGACUCCUCACUGGUUACUUUAUUCCGUUGUAAGAAUUGUAUCCAUUUUAUCUCAUGCUCUUCAAUGGAAGAAGUAUCAUAAAUGAAAGAUCUGAAUUCCUCCUUUACGUCGUCAUCAUGCAGAUGCCGUACAAUGUUCUGCUGAAUGUGCCAUAUACAUAGCCUAUGGUUUGAGUCUGGCCAGACCACCCUUAUUGCUCUCUGCAUUGCAAGGUCCCCAUCUGUGAUCACAGAUAUCGGAUGCUUCUGUGCCAUGCAAUCAGAAAAGGUCCGCAACAUCCACUCGUAUGCUUGGCUUGUUUCAUGAGAAAUUAUACCACAGCCAAAUAUAACAGUGCUGCGGUGGUGAUUCAACCCGACAAAAGGCACGAAUGGCAGAUUGUAUUUGUUGGUUCUGUAUGUGCUAUCGAAAACAAUGACGUCUCCGAAAGCCUCGUAGUCAAGUCACGAUUGACUAUCAGCCCAGAACAGUCCCUUCAGAUGGCCAUGCUCGUCUACCAAGUACUUGAAGAAAAAAAUCCACAUCUCGCUCUCGCCUCGCCAUCAUGUGCAUGAUCACCGUUUUAGCAUCACCGACACUGAUUGUCUCCUGCUUAUUAGCAUGGCAGAAAUUAUAAACGUCCCUCUUUAUGCAUUUGUUGGAUCCAUCCCACUCAACGUAGCUUUUCCUCACACUAAAACCUUUUUCAAGAGCAUAUUUGUUGUAGAAUUCAUAGCCUUCAGCCUCACUAUCAAACAUCUUGCUGACAACAUUUACAUACUCGAACAUACUCUCAUCACUUGCAUACGCCAUGUCUUCCUGCAUAUGACAUGUGAGGGAAACCAAUCAUCAACAUCUUUCUGUUUAUCAAUGUUGCAGGUGUAAAAUAGCUCAUAGGCAAAGACAAGUGCAUGGAAAAGACUUUGCUGGUUUGACAUGUGAGGGAAACCAAUCAUCAACGUCCAACAAGUAGUAUCUCAUCUUCCUUUAAACUAUAUUUCAUGCGCUAUGCAAACCUAAAGUGAUGAUGACUUUAAUAAACAAAAUUAAGUGAACUAUGGAACCAGUAUCUCAUCUUCCUUUAGUAUAUCUCAUCUCAAACGUCAACAUCUUACUUAAACAAACAUGAUGCGAUUAGCUCAAGAGAAACUAUGCCACGAUGAAGCUUUCCAUUCGUUGUUCUAGUCCGUACCCGGAUCUUGUGGGGUUUAGGUUGUACUGCAUGCACGGUGGAGGGGCGCAACGGCCAAGAGAACGAGCAGAACGCCAAGCCGAAUUCAUACCUUAACGAUGGUACGCGCGAAGAGAUGGGAUCGCCCGCCGCGGUCGCCGCCGAUUCAGCGGCGCAGAUCCGGCCUUAUUCUUCUUCGGUGACGGCGUGGGGGGCUGGGUUGGUUGGGUGGAGGACGAGGACGAUGAAUUUAUUCCUCUCGCCGGGCAGGCCAAGGACGGACAAGGUUAGGAGCGGCGAGCGGCGACAAAUAGAUCGGAGGAGGAUUCUGAACUGGAUCGAGUAGACAUGGAUCUGGUCCUCAGGUGAUCGGUUCAAGAAAAGAUAUUUCCCCCUGGACCAUUAUGCCCUUAUGGCAAUUAACAUAUUAAAUUUAAUCAAUUAAAAUUCCCCGCAAGAUCUGACGGCUAAUAAAAAUCAAACGUGAUCAGACAUGUAAGUACUGCUAAGUACUCCGAGUACUAACCCAAUCACUGUAAAACAUAUGUUUUGGUAGGAAGUGUAUUGUUCUUAUGUUUUUUCCUGGUAUGUAUUGACUGAUGCAGUAACUGAUAUUUCAGAUUAUAAAAUCCAAUCGCUCGGUAAUUGUUUGUAUGGAUGCAUAUGCUGAAUCUGGGUUCGUACUAACUCAACAUUACCUGCUUGACCAAAACAUUGGACCGGCACCCUCGCGCCAAGGCGUGAUUCUGAUCUAGUGGGCAUGAAUCUGGCUGGAUGUGCCUCUUUGAAAUCGCUACCCAUUUGGUCGAUAUGUUUGGAUUCUUGGCCUAGACGUAUUUUAUAGCAAAUUCAGAAACUAUAGCAAAGAAUAGAGAGAAAAAAAAAUCAAAACUAGCACCCUGUCGGCUAAGCGUCGGCCGAAAAGGGUGUUUUCGGCCUCCCUUUGGCCGAAAUGGACUUUUUGGCCUUGACUUGGCCGAAAAGGUGUGUAUCUGGGCCGAAAAGAACUUUUUGGUCAGGAGUAGGCCGAAAAGUCCCUUGAGCCCACUUUUUCACGUUAAUGGUUGACUGAAGUUGCAUGGCUCCACUCUUCGGCUUAUGUUAGGUCGAAGUGAUUUUUUUUAUUUUGGUAUAUAAAUAUUAUGCAACCAUUGGCCAUCUUAGACAUCGAAAAAAAUAUAUUUUCGCGCAACCGUUUCCCCUUAAUAUUUUCCUGCCAACUCUUUCCCGCCAUAUGUUCCCGCCAACCCCUUCCCGCUAACCCUUUCCCGCCAUACCAUAGCAUACCAUUAAAUAAAUUCUUCAUAUUUAAAAAAAUCAUGUUUCUCAAAAUCUUUUCACUUUUUUUAAAUGUCUUCACAAUUCAGAAAAACAUUAACCGUAUAUCACAAAAAUAUUCAAUGUGUCUUCAAAAAAAUUUUAGCUUAUACUACAAAAAUGCUCAGUGUAUAUUUAUAAAUUGUUCAUCACUUAAAAAAUCAAUAAAUGUUUGGAAUUCUAAAUUUUUUUUCAUGUGUUCAAUAAAUUUUCACGUUUUGAAAGUUUGUUAGUAUUUCGGAAAUUUUUAUUUUAAAUAAUUAUUUAAAUUGCUAAAGUAAAAUUGCUCACUUUUUUCUGAAAAUGUUGAAUUUUUAUAAAGAAAGGGAUCUGUUGUUGUACAUUAGCCAGAUGCUAUCCCAUUUGGCUGGUAACACAUAUACCCAGCGUGAGGUCAGGUUUUUGACUCCAUCGCUUACGCUUUUAUCCCAUUUUUUAAAAAUAUGAAGAAUUUAUUUAAUGGUAUACUGUGGUAUCACUACUAGGGAAAAGCCUAGCAGCAGCGCGGGUUUUGGGUGUAUCAGUAGCGCGGGUGCCCGCGCUACUGAUACGGCGCCACAACUAACUUGUAGCAGUAGCGCGUGUUGACACACGCUACUGCUAUACAUGGUUAGCUGUAGCGUGCGUUGCAAACAGCGCUACUGCUAAUUAGCUGUAGCGGGUCAUAUACCCUGCGCUACUGCUAUUACUUUCAAAAACAAAAAAAAUCUCGAUUCCGUGCGUGCUGUCAAUGGCAGCAAUGGUAGGAUCUAGCGAUGAUUGGCGUCGCCGGAGGCAUGAACGGACAGCAGAAGACCAGAUCCAGCAGUGGCUGUUGGAGAGGGCCCGUUUCUAUGGCAGAGCCAGGCCGCGGCGUGGGGCUCCUCUUCCCGACCAUGCCAUAUAGCUCCGGGUCAUCCAUGGAGACGACCUGCACAGGCAUGGACAUGGGAGGGUGAGUCAAACCAGAGGGAGAGAGAAAAGGAAAACCGAGGGAGAGAGGAAGGUGAUGUAGGGAGCAGCAGAGCUAGCCACCGGUGGCGAGGUGCUCCAGUGUGGUGGCGCGGGGCGGCGGCCUCCUAGACGUCGGUGGAAGACCGGCGAGCUCCUAGACGCCGGUGGCGCGAGGCGGCGGCCUCUUUCGGCGCCAUGGAGGAGGAUGGGUGCAUGGGCAAGAGGUCCAUGUGAGAGCAUAUGGAAAGUGAGAGGAGAGAGUUGUGGAAGAGAGGAGGGAUUUGGGGGAGGAGAUGGGGAUUCGGCUAAGGAUAUGGCCACUUCACCUACCUCGUACUUAGUAGUAGCGAGGGGUAUAAAACCGCGCUACUACUAUCAACUUAGUAGUAGCGCGGGUUUAUACCCCUCGCUACUACUAUGGCAUGUGUCGGGGGGCACGGUAGAAACCGCUUAGUAGUAGCGAGGGUUAAAAACCCGCGCUACUGCUAAUUAGCAGUAGAGCAUCUUUUUGUGACGCGCUGCUACUAAGAUUCUGUGUAUAAGGUUUUCCCUAGUAGUGUAUGGCAUGAAAGGGUUGGCGGGAACAUAUAGCGGGAAGGGGUUGACGGGAAACGGGUGGCAGAAACAUAUGGCGGGAAGGGGUUGCCGGGAAACGGGUGGCGGGAAAAUAUUGAGGGAAAAGGGUUGCGCGAAAAAAUAUUUUUUCAAUGUCUAAGAUGGAUAAUGGUUGCACAGUAUUUAUAUAUCAAAAUUUAAAAAAAAUCACUUCGGCCUAACGUAAGCCGAAGAGUGGAGCCAUGCAACUUCGGUCAACCAUUAAGGUGAAAGAUGGGCUCAAGCGACUUUUCGGCCUACUCCUGACCAAAAAUGACUUUUCGGCCUACUCCUGACCAAAAAGGACUUUUCGGCCUACUCCUGACCAAAAAGGACUUUUCGGCCUACUUCUGACCAAAAAGGACUUUUCGGCCUACUCCUGACCAAAAAGGUCUUUUCGGCCCAGGUACGCAUAUUUUCGGCCAAGGCAAGGCCAAAAACUCCAUUUCGGCAAAAGGGAGUCCGAAAACACCCUUUUCGGCCGACGCGUGGCCGACGGGGUGAUAGUUUUGAUUUUUCUCCACCCUUUGCUAUAGUUUCUGAAUUUGCUACAAAAUACGUCAUAAUUUUGAAAAAUGAUCCUCUCUCUCAAAUUCCUGAGCAUUUUUUAACUCGUAAAGAAUUUUCAUUUUUUUUUUAAAAUAGUUCGUGAACAUUUUCUCAAUAGGCAAAAAAUUUAGUAUGUUCAAGAACAUUACUCAAAUUCACCAACGUUUUCCAACUGCGAAGAAAACUUUCAAGUUUGUGAACAAUUUUAUUAAAUACGUGAACAAUUUUUCAUAUUCAUGAACAUUCUUCCAACUUCGUGAACAUGUUUUCAAAUAUUCGAACAUAUUUCCCUAUUCCCGAACAUUUCUCAAAUUUGUGAAUAUUUUCAAAUACGUGAACAUUUUUUCAAGUUUAGGAAAUUUCUCUCAAGUUUGCGAGCAAUUUUAUUAAUACAUAAACGUUUUUUCUUAUUGGGGAACAUUUUCAAAAUACACUCCUCGAAGAUGAAUUCCAUCCAUCCUUGACCAAUAUUUUUGUUUUUGAAACUCGGCCGAAACCUGGCCAGUAAAUGGAAAGUGAUAAACUUUUUGUUGAUGGACUGAUCGACUGUUCCACCGGCCCACACGGUGCAAAUUCAAAGUCCGCGAGCGCUAUGUCUUGCAUUACGCGAGACGGGAGCACCUAGUUAACAAGCGCUCCUUUGGGAGCUUUGCAAUGAUCAGCGUCACUUGGCGCGCUCUCAGCCAUUCGCCACAUGUCGCGCUCUGGACGCUUCCUUUAGAUUUUUUUUUUCCGCAUGCGUUUUUGGCUUUUUAAAGGUUUUUCCUGGGUUUUUUUGACAUUUUGGUUUUCCCUUAUGUUCCUUAGAUUUUCGAUAAAAAAAAUUGGGGAAUUUUUCUUUUUACGAGAAAAAACGCGUUUUCUUUUUUCUUUCUUUCGUGAAAGUAACGGUUUUUUUCCGCGAGAGACACGGUUGUGCUUUAGCGAGAGUCACGGCCGUGCCUUUCGGAAGCGGGAAAAAAACGCAUUUUCAGUUUUUUUUUCUUUCACGAGAGUCACGGUUAUGCUUCCCCGAGAGGCACAGUUGUGCUUUCGCAAGAGUCACGGCCGUGCCUCUCAGAAAAGGAAAAACAAAAUGCGUUUUUUGUUUUUUUUUUCGCGAGAGUCACGGCCGUGCCUCUCAAAAACGGAAAAAAUACGCGUUUUCUGUUUUUUUUUCUUUCGCGAGAGUCACAAUUUUGCUCCCCCGAGAGGCACGGUUGUAAUUUCACGAGAGUCACGCCCGUGCCUCUCGGAAACGAAAAAAACGUGUUUCCUGUUUUUUUCUUCCACAAGAGUCACGGUUUUGCUUCCACGAAAGGCACGGGUGUGAUUUCGCGAGAGGCAUGGGUAUGCCUCUUUCGAAAAGGGAAAAAACUGUGCUCCCGCUUCGGUUUUUUCGUUCGGUUUUUUCAUCCGAUUUUUUCCAUGAAAAAAAGUUCGUCGAAACCUAUCAACAUGCUAUCUAGUUUUGAAGAUCUCGACGCGAGGAAUCCAAUGAUGAAAACGUUGAAGAUUUAGACGCACGGUUUAAAAGAUAAAACAUUUUGAAUAAACGGAUCUAUAAAAAAGAAAAAACUCCCAGGUUGCGACAAGUGACAUAUUGCAUAUACGCCACUUAUCGCGACCUGGGAAAGUGGAGUAUUCUGUUCAACGAAUACUCCUUAAUUAGUGAUUUCGACGCAAGACGGUAGCAGCUCGCUGACGGUUUUUCCUCUCCCGACGCCAUAUUGGGCCGGCCCAUUCACGCGCGCAUAUAGUUGGAAAAGAGCUGAGGAAAGGGGGAACCAGGAUCGAUUCCUGGUCUCAAAGGUGACAGCGGGUGCUGCUACCAGUCCGAUCAAGUUCCGUUCGUGAUAAGUUGUAGGUGCGCGUCGUACUUGAGCCGAUUCAAGCCGGUUUACUUUGAGUUUUUUUUCCUUCUUCAUUUUUUUCAUUCUUUUUUGCACUUGUUUCUUCAUUUUUUUUCAUUUUUAUUCUUUUGUUUAUUUUCUUUGUUCUUUUGGUUAUUAUUGUGCAUUUUUUGUAUACGUCAACAAUAUUUUUCUAAUACACGUCUAACAUUUUUCAAAUACAAACCAACAAUUUUUGCAAUACAUGGCCUACAUUUUUGUAUACACAUUUUUUAAAUGCUUGAUUAUCAUUUUUCAAAUAUAAUAUUAACAAUUUCAAUACAUGGUUAACAUUUUUUUUCCAUUUUUACAAAAAAAAAUUAAAUGCUUGAUUAACAUUUUCUUAAUAGAUGGUCAACCUUUUUUUCAUACACAUUUAACAUUUUCCAAACGCUUGAUUAACUUUUUCAGACCCUUGUUCGACAUUUCUUUCAAAUGCUGGAUUAACAUUUCUAUAUACUUGAUCAAAUAUUUCUAUCAUUUUUAAUACAUGGUCAACAUUAUUAACAUACACAUUUAACAAUUUCCCAAUUGUUGAUUAAUAUUUUUUAAAUACUCGUUUAACAUUUCCCAAUUUUAGCUAGUUAUGGUGCAAACUAAGUGUUGUGCCUCGUCUUAAUCUAUCUAUAUAUCCUAUCUUCUAUUCGGCGACGUGGUUGCGCCCGUGGCGGAUGUGGUCGCCGCCAUGACUUGGUCGAUCUCCCUCUUCUGUAUUCGAGAAAAAAAGAUCUCCGUCUUCUCUUUAGAUGAGAUGGGGAGGAGAUGGUGAGAGAUGAGGUCAACGGCAUUGGGGAGAGGAUAAGGGUAGACGCCAGUGGUGAGGCGGCGUGAGGAAGACGAGGUGGUUGGCGGCUAGGACACAUGAGGGGAGGGGAAGGGAGGGGAGUGGUGCGUGGAGGGAAGUGGGUGUGCGGCGUGCCCAAUUCACGAGAGAGGAGAGAGGUCGGCAAGGGAGCGACCCAUGGGAGUUUUUUUCUUCUGAGUGAGCCUAGUUGGGCUAUCUGCUGCGUCCAAGGCCCAAUGCACCACAUGUCUUCAAAUUGGCCACCAGUAGCAGCCCUUAGAACAGACAGAGCCAGUUUGCAAAUUUAAAGACAUAAGUUUUUUGCACGCAUGAAAAACAUAACACCUAUCUUUUCACACAUAAUGAACUAUAGGUACUACCCAAAAAAACAUAAUGAACUAUAGUUUGUCACAAGAACUCAUGCCAUCUCACAACCUCCCUCUGACCCUGCCAACAUUGUUGCAACUGCACUCGCAAGUGUUAUCGUAGAUGAUCAUUUGCAUGAUUUCCCGUAAAACAAAAUAAGAUCUACAAACGAAUAGAAGCUACACAUACCAUGGCAUGCACACACAUUGCAAGCCAUACUAAGCAGAUAAGUGUUAAAAACUUGUACUCCCUCAUCUCAGUUUACAAGUCUUCCACGUGUAUCUAGGUCGUCAAUUUAAUUAUAUAAAAUAAAUUGUUUGACAUAAAUUAUAUCAUUAGAAAAUAGAAAUAUAUAUUUUGUAAUGUAUGCCUCUUAUUAAGUUGGUCAAAUUAACAAUCUAGGUACACAUGCAAGACUUUUAAACUAAGAUGGAGGGAGUACAACAUAUACAACACUUACGACAAGUAAAAGCAAUUUGAUGAGUCAUGGUCUAUCAAAGCAAGCUACAUUACUAAUCUAAUCUAUCUUAACAUGUCACACAUGAUUACAAUCUUUUUUGUGUGCAAGUCAAGCCUAUCUAGUCUACAUGUAACAACUUGUAGAACAUUACAAAAUUGAUGUUUGCUAAUAACUUUUAGAACACUACAACACUUGACAUGUAAAAAGAAUUUGAUGAGUCAUGACCUACUAAAGCAAGUUACAUUACUAGUCUCAUCUAUCUUAACAGGCCACACAAGAUUAAAAACUAAGUUCUGUGCAAGCAAUGCUUAUCUAUUUUACACAUAACAACUUGCAUAACAUUACAAACUUAGUUUUAGAAAAUUAGGCAACCUAGAUUAGUGUUUAGUUGUAAAGUGAAUAAGAUGAGUCAUGUGUGUUAUCACACCUUUUUGUGGUGGAAUGAUAGUGCCACCAAACACAACAUACCAAAAUAUGAUUUUGGGAAGCAUCCAAGCACUUUCCAGACAAGCAAAUGCCAAUUGUGAAAGAGAUAAUGCCAUGGCAGCUAUAAAUAGGCCUGUUGCAUGAUGAUCAUCCUUCCUCAUUCAUCAUUCUCAUAAGUAGAGUGCAUCAUUCAAGCCAAGCACGCACUGGUCAAUACAAAUCCAUCAUGAAGACAUUUCUCAUCAUUUCCCUCCUUGCUAUCGUGGCGACCACCGCCACAACUGCAGUUAGAGUUCCAGUGCCACAAUUGCAGCCACAAAAUCCAUCUCUGCAACAACCACAAGAGCAAGUUCCAUUGGUGCAACAACAACAAUUUCCAGGGCAGCAACAAACAUUUCCACCACAACAGCCAUAUCCGCAGCCGCAACCAUUUCCAGCGCAACAACCAUAUCCGCAGCCGCAACUAUUUCCACAGCCGCAACCUUUUCCGCCACAACUUCCAUAUCCGAAGCCGCAACCAUUUCCCCCACAACAACCAUAUCCACAACCGCAAACACAGCAUCUGCAACCACAACAACCAAUUUCGCAGCAACAAGCACAACAACAACAACAACAACAACAACAAAUCCUUCAACAAAUCCUUCAACAAAUUCUGCAACAACAACAACUGAUUCCAUGCAGGGAUGUCAUCGUCUUGCAACUACACAACAUAGCGCAUGAAAGCUCACAAGUAUUGCAGCAAAGUAGUUACCAAGUGUUGCAACAAUUAUGUUGUCAGCAGUUGUGGCAGAUCCCCGAGCUGUCGCGGUGCCAAGCCAUCCACAAUGUCGUUCAUGCUAUUAUUCUGCAUCAACAACAACAACAACAACAACA